UGAGUAAUGUCUGGGAAACUGCCUGAUGGAGGGGGAUAACUACUGGAAACGGUAGCUAAUACCGCAUAACGUCGCAAGACCAAAGAGGGGGACCUUCGGGCCUCUUGCCAUCAGAUGUGCCCAGAUGGGAUUAGCUAGUAGGUGGGGUAAUGGCUCACCUAGGCGACGAUCCCUAGCUGGUCUGAGAGGAUGACCAGCCACACUGGAACUGAGACACGGUCCAGACUCCUACGGGAGGCAGCAGUGGGGAAUAUUGCACAAUGGGCGCAAGCCUGAUGCAGCCAUGCCGCGUGUGUGAAGAAGGCCUUCGGGUUGUAAAGCA
rnacentral:rRNA from 1 species